rnacentral:sRNA from 1 species
UUUUAUUUUUGGUUUUUAAUA